AUUGAACGCUGGCGGCAGGCUUAACACAUGCAAGUCGAGCGGGGAAAGGUAGCUUGCUACCUGACCUAGCGGCGGACGGGUGGGUAAUGCUUAGGAAUCUGCCUAUUAGUGGGGGACAACAUUCCGAAAGGAAUGCUAAUACCGCAUACGCCCUACGGGGGAGAGCAGGGGAUCUUCGGACCUUGCGCUAAUAGAUGAGCCUAAGUCAGAUUAGCUAGUUGGUGGGGUAAAGGCCUACCAAGGCGACGAUCUGUAGCGGGUCUGAGAGGAUGAUCCGCCACACUGGGACUGAGACACGGCCCAGACUCCUACGGGAGGCAGCAGUGGGGAAUAUUAGACAAUGGGCGAACGCCUGAUCCAGCCAUGCCGCGUGUGUGAAGAAGGCCUUUUGGUUGUAAAGCACUUUAAGCGAGGAGGAGGCUACCGAGAUUAAUACUCUUGGAUAGUGGACGUUACUCGCAGAAUAAGCACCGGCUAACUCUGUGCCAGCCGCCGCCGUAA
rnacentral:rRNA from 1 species